rnacentral:rRNA from 1 species
UGAGCCAAGUUUAGGGUUUUCUCAAAACCCAAGCAGUAUUGAACUGAAGAGUUUGAUCAUGGCUCAGAUUGAACGCUGGCGGCAGGCCUAACACAUGCAAGUCGAGCGGAUGAAGGGAGCUUGCUCCUGGAUUCAGCGGCGGACGGGUGAGUAAUGCCUAGGAAUCUGCCUGGUAGUGGGGG